rnacentral:rRNA from 1 species
UACAGAGGUCCCAAGCGUUGUUCGGAUUCACUGGGCGUAAAGGGUGCGUAGGCGGUCGGGUAAGUCUGACGUGAAAUCUCCAAGCUCAACUUGGAAAUGGCGUCGGAUACUAUUCGGCUCGAGGAAUGGAGGGGAGACUGGAAUUCUCGGUGUAGCAGUGAAAUGCGUAGAUAUCGAGAGGAACACCAGUGGCGAAGGCGAGUCUCUGGACAUUUCCUGACGCUGAGGCACGAAAGCCAGGGGAGCAAACAGG